rnacentral:misc_RNA from 1 species
AGUCGCCACGACACGAGUGCGCGCGAAUCUGUUGUAUACCGGUGCGCCUGCUCGUGCACCGACGCGCUCUUCUUCGUUUUGCUUCGGCUUUGCGUGUCGGGUUUUCGCACGCAUCUACCCGCGACUCAGCACGCGCUCGAGCCGCGCAAACUCAACGAAACAUAGCAGCGACCAGGCCUCCUCUCCUUCUCCGGCAGUUCUCCCUUCCACACACACCUCAGCUUCACCGUCGCAGCGCCCUGUCUUUCGCUCGCUCUCGCUCUCUUUCUCUUCGCCACACCUUACUUCUGUGGCCGCUGGCACCAUCGCGCGUGCGUGCGCCGGUGCGUGACUCUCUCACACACGCCUCUUUUACCUUUCGCUUGUUGUUCUUUGGUUGUAGUGGCUGCUCUCUUAGCUGGAUAUCCGCCGGUGUCGCCCGUCUCUCCCCCCCCCUCUCCCACAAGACCUGCGUGUGCGUGCACGUGUCAGUCUCGGCGGGUUUGUGUUCUCCGAUCUAAACAAUCUCUGUUCGCUUGCUUCCUCGACGUUUUCCUCGCCCCCACCCCUCUCCUUCUCCCUCUGUGGCGUGUGCAGUGUGUGUGUGUGUGUGUGUGUGCGUGUGCGUGGGUGGGAGGGAGGGUGGGUGGGUGGGUGGGUGGGUCUUUCACUCUUGAUUCUUGUUUUCUCCGUCGCGCUCGCCCCUCCCUGUGCGCCUGCGUACGCGCGACUGUCACUGCUUGUCUUCUUGGAUUUCUCUCCUGCCUCACUUCCGUUUCCGUCUUUGGCCUGCGGGUGUGCGUGUGCGUGCGUGUGUCUUCGCUUGUGUCCCUCCACUCCCCUCCCCCCCCCCGAGCAACGAUGGGCAACGUCUUUUCCAGCUGGUUCGAGGGCCUCUUCAGCAACAAAAAGGCCAGCAUCGUCAUGGUCGGCCUCGAUGCAGCCGGCAAGACAACAAUUUUAGACAAACUGAAGCUCGGCGCCUCGCGCGAGACGGUGCCGACGAUCGGCUUCCACGUCGAGACGGUGGACUACCGCAACGUGACGUUUCACCUGUGGGACGUCGGUGGGCAGAAGCGGCUACGCGCGCUGUGGAAGAUGUACUACGAAGGUGCCAACGCCGUUAUCUUCGUCGUCGACAGCAAUGAUCGCGCGCGUGUCGGCGAGGUGCGUGAAGAGCUGCGGACGCUCUUGUCAGACCCGCUGCUGGCCGGCGCAGCAUUACUGGUGCUGUGCAACAAGCAAGACCUGCCGCAUCGGCUGACGCCUGCGGAGCUCGUAGAAGGGUUAGGGUUUCGUGACCUCUCCGACAACGGGCUGGGACGCUACCUGGCCGGUCACAAGUGGUACGUGCAAGGAUGCUGUGCUCAUACAGGUGACGGCUUAUACGAAGGGCUCGACUGGAUGUGCUCUCACCUCCCGGACAAUGUCUAGCGCGAGGCGGAGAGUCCGUGCACUUGGAGUGAAAAGUAUAACGCGCGAGAGCUCCCCGUGAGCCGGCAUGUCUGACAGUGUGCGCGUAUUCGAGCUUCUCUUCCCCACUUGCUGCCAUG